rnacentral:rRNA from 1 species
AUUGAACGCUGGCGGCAGGCCUAACACAUGCAAGUCGAGCGGUAGCACAGGGAGCUUGCUCCUGGGUGACGAGCGGCGGACGGGUGAGUAAUGUCUGGGAAACUGCCUGAUGGAGGGGGAUAACUACUGGAAACGGUAGCUAAUACCGCAUAACGUCGCAAGACCAAAGAGGGGGACCUUCGGGCCUCUUGCCCUCAGAUGUGCCCAGAUGGGAUUAGCUAGUAGGUGGGGUAACGGCUCACCUAGGCGACGAUCCCUAGCUGGUCUGAGAGGAUGACCAGCCACACUGGAACUGAGACACGGUCCAGACUCCUACGGGAGGCAGCAGUGGGGAAUAUUGCACAAUGGGCGCAAGCCUGAUGCAGCCAUGCCGCGUGUAUGAAGAAGGCCUUCGGGUUGUAAAGUACUUUCAGCGGGGAGGAAGGCGAUAAGGUUAAUAACCUUGUCGAUUGACGUUACCCGCAGAAGAAGCACCGGCUAACUCCGUGCCAGCAGCCGCCGUAA